AUAUUUACCUGGCGUAGGGGAUAACGUGAUCAUGCAGGCGGUUCCCUCAGAUCGAGGCUGUCCCAUUGCACUGCGGAGUGGUUGACCCUUGCGAUUAUUUUUAUUUUUAUCAAUAAAAAAUCAUAAUAAAAAAUGUAUACCCGAAUAAUUACGAAUAGAACUUAAAAUAAAUAUUUUAAUAAUAAGGAACUUCGUUCCUAU
rnacentral:snRNA from 9 species